rnacentral:rRNA from 1 species
GACGAACGCUGGCGGCGUGCCUAAUACAUGCAAGUCGAGCGAAUCAAUAGGAGCUUAGCUCUUUUGGUUAGCGGCGGACGGGUGAGUAACACGUGGGCAACCUGCCUGUAAGACUGGGAUAACACCGGGAAACCGGUGCUAAUACCGGAUAACCCUUUCCCUCUCAUGAGGGAAAGUUGAAAGUCGGUUUCGGCUGACACUUACAGAUGGGCCCGCGGCGCAUUAGCUAGUUGGUGAGGUAACGGCUCACCAAGGCGACGAUGCGUAGCCGACCUGAGAGGGUGAUCGGCCACACUGGGACUGAGACACGGCCCAGACUCCUACGGGAGGCAGCAGUAGGGAAUCUUCCACAAUGGACGAAAGUCUGAUGGAGCAACGCCGCGUGAGCGAUGAAGGCCUUCGGGUCGUAAAGCUCUGUUGUUAGGGAAGAACAAGUACCGGAGUAACUGCCGGUACCUUGACGGUACCUAACCAGAAAGCCACGGCUAACUACGUGCCAGCCGCCGCCGUAA